rnacentral:rRNA from 1 species
UACGUAUGGUGCGAACGUUGUUCGGAAUCACUGGGCAUAAAGAGCACGUAGGCGGUUAAGCAAGUCCAUUGUGAAAUCCCCCGGCCUAACCGGGGAACUGCAUUGGAUACUACUUGACUUGAGUGCAGGAGGGGAGAGUGGAAUUCCAGGUGUAGCGGUGAAAUGCGUAGAUAUCUGGAGGAAUACCGGUGGCGAAGGCGGCGUUCUGGACUGCAACUGACACUGAUGAACGAAAGCCAGGGGAGCAAACGGG